CCAUUAAGUCUCUCACAAGACCUUGUGUUUACUGGGCAUAUGAAAGGCUAUGUAUGUUUACUCCAGCACAACAUGUGUUCCUUCCCUCACCUGGUAUUUAGUCAUUGCUUGUGAUGGUGAAUCAGACAGGUCACCCUAGUGCUUUGCUCCAGCCCAUCUUGCACACAGCGUGGCACCAAAUUGAUGGCUGCUCCUUGCCCUGCGACUCCCAGCUUCCCUCAGCUCUCACACGGUGAGUUGCCUCUGAUCUAAACAUCUUCAGCUGCUGCCCUCCUCAUAGGGGGCCUCAUGUUUGGCAGACGCUGCUGGAUCAGGCCCAUGCAAUGGCUACCACAGCUUGUCUUCUCCAGCUUAGCUCCAGGUUAUCGGAGUCCAAGAAUGAAGCAAAAAUUCUUUGAUCCCAAUGAUGGCGCAGUGCAUGUGACGUGCAUCAGCAGCUGGAAGGCAGAGGGACCAGGACAGGUUUCAUCUGGAAAGGGGCUGCGCAUUGGGGUGGGUGUCACGGGGAAGAUCUACAAUGAGGUAACAGCUGUUUGCAUAAUGGAGACCGGUUGGGCACAAGUCAUGAAAGACAAAGUCAAGGCAAGGGCCCGCAGGAUCCAGGAGGCCUUCGCACCCAUGAAGACAUCACUGCUGAGUCAGGCCCAGGGCUGCGUGCACACCCAAGAAAUACACAUGUGCUGAUAGAAAGCAGAUUUAAAAGGUACCUAAAAUAAUAGCUUGUUAAGACAGUAUUACAGUCAUAUAACUUGUUGGGAAAAGCACACCAUGGCUCAAAAUCUGAAUUAAACAUGUGUCAUUGUGGGUAAGUUUCAUUUAAAAUACCUAUAUCUGCUAAUUCUUUAAUAUGUUAAUGCUAUGCUGCUGUACUAUCUCUGAAUUAUUUUAGCAUGCUUUUGGAAAUGUUGCAGUAAAUAGAAUAUAAAAAAAAUCAACUAAAAAUAUUUCCAUAUUGAGUUCCCCCCCCCCCCUUUUUUUUUUUUUUUUGUGUAAGCACAUAUGAAGGUGGCACUUAUCAGUGACAUUUUUUGGACUCUCACCAUAUCAGGGUUGACAAACUUAGCUUUGCAUACUGAAGAAUCCUUUAAAAAAAUACAUAAAUAAUCAUAGGACAAACACGAAGCUUCAUCUGGGGACUUCAAGGUCAGUUACCAUUGGCCUGGCCUCCAUUAACCCCCACAGGAAAUCUUCAGGAUCCUUAUUUUAUCUUGAGUGGGUGUUCCCGAACUAUCAGUCUUUUAUUUUUUUUUUUUUCCACCAAAAUAGAGAGACAGUUUCCUUUAAAAGACAUGAAUUUCAUCUGGUAGAAUAUUUUAAAACUGUUUACAGG
rnacentral:lncRNA from 1 species